rnacentral:rRNA from 1 species
AUUGAACGCUGGCGGCAGGCCUAACACAUGCAAGUCGAACGAGUGGCGGACGGGUGAGUAAUGUCUGGGAAACUGCCUGAUGGAGGGGGAUAACUACUGGAAACGGUAGCUAAUACCGCAUACCAUCGGAUGUGCCCAGGUGGGAUUAGCUAGUCGGUGGGGUAAAGGCUCACCAAGGCGACGAUCCCUAGCUGGUCUGAGAGGAUGACCGGCCACACUGGAACUGAGACACGGUCCAGACUCCUACGGGAGGCAGCAGUGGGGAAUAUUUCACAAUGGGCGCAAGCCUGAUGGAGCCAUGCCGCGUGUGUGAAGAAGGCCUUCGGGUUGUAAAGUACUGUCAUCGGGGAGGCGUUACCCGCACAGGAAGCACCGGCUAACUCCGUGCCAGCAGCCGCGGUAAUUC